rnacentral:tRNA from 1 species
GCCUGGCUGGCUUCAUUGGUAGAGCAUGCAACUCUUGUUCUCAAGGCCAUGAGUUCAAGCCUCAUGUUGGGUG